AUGUACACAGCUCAAAGUCUUGGAAAAUCUGGUACCAGCUUCUAUGCAGAUGCACCUCAGUCAGGAUCCAGAAGUGAUGUUGUGAUGACCCAGAGUCCACUCUCCCUGUCCAUCGUCAAGGGAGAACCAACGUCCAUCUCCUGCACGUCUAGUACCAUGUGUGAUAUCCAGAUGAGCCAGCCUCCAUCCGUUUCUGCAUCUCUGGGAGAGAAAGUCACCAUCACCUGCAAGACCAGUCAGAGCAUUGGCAGUGCUUUUUCCUGGUAUCAGCAGAAACCAGGAAAAGUUCCCAGGCUCCUGAUCUAUGCUGCAACCUUUUUACAACCAGGCGUCCCUUCCCGGUACAGUGGCAGUGGAUCUGGGGCAGUUUUCACUCUCACCAUCAGCAGCCUGGAGCCUGAAGAUGUUGCCACUUAUUACUGUCAACAUUUUUAUAAUCUCCCUCUCACCGUGAUACACAUCAGAACAUAA